rnacentral:misc_RNA from 1 species
GUGAAUCAUCGAAUUUUUGAACGCAAAUUGCACUCUCUGGUUUUCCGGGGAGGAUGCCUGCUUGAGGGUUAGGUUUAUACAACAGUAAUAAGAAAUUUUUACGGAUCUGGAUUUUCCAAAGGUUAUAUUUUUGGUAAUCUAAAAAUUAUCAUAACAAUAGGUGAUAUUGGAGAUGUUUAGAUU